rnacentral:lncRNA from 1 species
UAACCUCUGGGAGUAUAGAGCAUGAGACAAUUUAGCAUACCACUAUCUGGAUGCCUGUCUCAAUCCAUAAAGGGAUUUCUUCAACUUACAAACAAUUGGAGGAGAGACAGAAGAACCAGAAUCAACAGAAGGGACAGAAACAGUUAAACAUGGAGGAAGCUUCAUAUAUACCUCCUCAUUAAGGUCACCAUGCAAGAAAGCAUUAUUAACAUCAAGUUGAAAAAGAUCCCAAUGAUUCUUAACAGCCACAACAAUUAAGCAUUUAACAGUAGACAUCUUAACCACAGGGGAAAAAGUUUCAGUAAAAUCAACUCCCUCAAUUUGAGUAUCUCCUCUAAUAACAAGUCUAGCCUUGUACCUAAAAGGUUUUAGUGAAAUCAAUCCCUUCAAUUUGAGUAUCUCCUCUAAUAACAAGUCUAGAAUUGUACCUUUCAACACUAAAAUCAGCCUUAUAUUUGAUCUUAUAAACCCACGUGCAGCCUAUGGGUUUCUUACCAGGAGAAAGGGGAACAACAUCCCAGGUAUGGUUGGCAUCCAAUGCAUCAAACUCCUUUCUCAUGGCAUCUCGCCAGACUGGGACUGAUGCAGCUUGAGAGUAAUAGAGAGGUUCAGAUUCUAGAUGAGAAGAAGAUGAAGAAGAGCCAGAAAAGGAAGGAAGGUGACAAACAUAAUCCUUGAGAUAAGAAGGAGGGUUGUGCUGCCUUCCAGACUUUCUGGAAACA